rnacentral:lncRNA from 1 species
GGGUGGACAUAGUUCAUUAAACGAUUUGCUUUAUACUUAAAACAAUUGAACUAUUUUUACUAAAAACUGAUUAAAUUAUUUUAUAGUUCAGAUUAAAAAACUGAAACUUAAUAAUUUUAGUACAGUUAACUGGUUAACUGGUAUGCUUCUCUUCACUUUUUCUUCGUCAGAAUCUCUCUUUGCCAAGGUCCAUUGCCCUUUUUCUUCCUACAGCUAACCAUCCC